GACGAACGCUGGCGGCGUGCUUAACACAUGCAAGUCGAACGGAGUGGCGAACGGGUGAGUAACACGUGGGUGAUCUGCCUUGCACUUCGGGAGAAGCUUGGGAAACUGGGUCUAAUACCGGAUAGUGCAAGAUGAGCUCGCGGACUAUCAGCUUGUUGGUGGGGGAAUGGUCUACCAAGGCGUCGACGGGUAGCCGGCCUGAGAGGGUGAACGGCCACAUUGGGACUGAGAUACGGGCCGGAGUCGUACGGGAGGCAGCAGUAGUGAAUAUUGCACAAUGCGCGGAAGUCUGAUGAAGCGUGGCCGCGUGGGGGAUGAAGGCCUUCUGGUUGUAAACUCCUUUCGACAGGGACGCGGUACCUGUAUAAGAAGCACCGGCUAACUACGUGCCAGCAGCCGCGGUAAUUC
rnacentral:rRNA from 1 species